rnacentral:rRNA from 1 species
GACGAACGCUGGCGGCGUGCUUAACACAUGCAAGUCGAACGGAGAAUUUUGCUUCGGUAGAAUUCUUAGUGGCGAACGGGUGAGUAACACGUAGACAACCUGUCUCUCAGAGGGGGAUAACACCGCGAAAGCGGUGCUAAUACCGCAUAACAUACCGAGGUAGCAUUAUAUUGGUAUCAAAGGUGGCGAUCCGCGAGGAGCUAUCGUUGAGAGAGGGGUCUGCGUCUGAUUAGUUAGUUGGCAGGGUAAUGGCCUACCAAGACGAUGAUCAGUAGCCGGUCUGAGAGGAUGAACGGCCACACUGGGACUGAGACACGGCCCAGACUCCUACGGGAGGCAGCAGUGGGGAAUAUUCCACAAUGGACGAAAGUCUGAUGGAGCGACGCCGCGUGAGGGAUGAAGGUUUUCGGAUCGUAAACCUCUGUUAUAAGGAAAGAACGUUACAUAUGCUAAUAUCAUGUGUAAAUGACGGUACCUUAUGAGGAAGCCACGGCUAACUACGUGCCAGCAGCCGCCGUAA